GGAAUUAUUGGGCGUAAAGAGCUCGUAGGCGGUUUGUCGCGUCUGCUGUGAAAGCCCGGGGCUCAACCCCGGGUCUGCAGUGGGUACGGGCAGACUAGAGUGCAGUAGGGGAGACUGGAAUUCCUGGUGUAGCGGUGAAAUGCGCAGAUAUCAGGAGGAACACCGAUGGCGAAGGCAGGUCUCUGGGCUGUAACUGACGCUGAGGAGCGAAAGCAUGGGGAGCGAACAGGAUUAGAUACCCUGGUAGUCCAUGCCGUAAACGUUGGGCACUAGGUGUGGGGGACAUUCCACGUUUUCCGCGCCGUAGCUAACGCAUUAAGUGCCCCGCCUGGGGAGUACGGCCGCAAGGCUAAAACUCAAAGGAAUUGACGGGGGCCCGCACAAGCGGCGGAGCAUGCGGAUUAAUUCGAUGCAACGCGAAGAACCUUACCAAGGCUUGACAUGGACCGGACCGCCGCAGAAAUGCGGUUUCCCUUCGGGGCCGGUUUACAGGUGGUGCAUGGUUGUCGUCAGCUCGUGUCGUGAGAUGUUGGGUUAAGUCCCGCAACGAGCGCAACCCUCGUUCUAUGUUGCCAGCGCGUUAUGGCGGGGACUCAUAGGAGACUGCCGGGGUCAACUCGGAGGAAGGUGGGGACGACGUCAAAUCAUCAUGCCCCUUAUGUCUUGGGCUUCACGCAUGCUACAAUGGCCGGUACAAAGGGUUGCGAUACUGUGAGGUGGAGCUAAUCCCAAAAAGCCGGUCUCAGUUCGGAUUGAGGUCUGCAACUCGACCUCAUGAAGUCGGAGUCGCUAGUAAUCGCAGAUCAGCAACGCUGCGGUGAAUACGUUCCCGGGCCUUGUACACACCGCCCGUCAAGUCACGAAAGUUGGUAACACCCGAAGCCGGUGGCCUAA
rnacentral:rRNA from 1 species